GACAUUUUUAAUGCGGGAAUUAUCAGUUAUCGGAUAUCGCAGCUAAGAGAUGGACCUCUCUCUUAUGGUCUCUCCGCUUUCCUUCCAAAUCUGAGCAGUUAACACGUGCGACGACUUCAGAGCAUUCAACCUCGGAGAAACAACGCUAAUAGGCGCAAGAAAAUUCUGGUAGAAUUGUUUGACCAUUGGAGAUUGGUAAUUGGAGGAAACAUAAACUCAUGGUUGAUGACUGCAACAUUGGUGUCAACAGCAAGUUUUUUUUACCUUCCCCAGCUCUGUGGUGAUAACCUGCCUGUUUUAGUGGGCCGUAAAUUUUCACUCAUCAGCAUGUCCAUGGUAUUAGUACCCAAAGCACAACAGCAGUCUGACUACGUUCUCUUCAAUGUAGAACAUCCUAGAUCACAAGCAGCACUUGCCAAAGGAUACAUGGAUGGUAAAU